GUAGUCAUACGCUCGUCUCAAAGAUUAAGCCAUGCAUGUGUAAGUGUAAAUGGUUACUAGUUUGGAACUGCGAAUGGCUCAUUAUAUCAGUUAUAGUUUAUUUGGUGAAGUGUACUACUUGGAUAACCGUAGUAAUUCUAGGGCUAAUACAUGAGAAAGUCCUCUGGUGAGGUGUGUUUAUUAGAAUGAAAACCAUAUGCUUCGGCAUGAUAGUGAGUAAUAGUAACCUAUCGUAUCGCAUGCUUAAUGUAGCGAUGAGUCUUUCAAGUUUCUGCCCUAUCAGCUUUCGAUGGUAGUAUAUGGGCCUACCAUGGCAGUAACGGGUAACGAAG
rnacentral:rRNA from 1 species